GGCCCAGUGGCGUAACGGUAACGCGCUUAAACAUCCCUUAACUAUCAAGUGUAGGGCUUUAGAGAGAAGCAGGUUCGAAUCCUGUCUAGGCCA